UAGUUAGACUAUGGAGAAUGUACGACAAUGCUACUCCCUAUAUUUCAUGAAGUUGGUUGUCAAUUUUUAAUCAAGUUAUGAUCUAAUAGCAAGCUCUGGCUGGAAGUGAUCGAGGAGUGAGUACGACCAAAAACCUAAUUUGAGUGAGUCUUGACAAUCGUUUAGUCCAUGUUGAAAUUUAUGUUUUUUUCACUCUGCGGUCAUCUUUGAAACUAUACCUGCUUGAUAACUGUAUGUACAUGACUAAACCGGCCCGCACUAAACGGCAAGGAGGAUUCCAGAGGCAAAUGAUGUUGGCAGCAAGAAGGAAGGAAGAAUACGGUACAAUCUUUACAUAUUGAUUAGGGCCUUAUCUAUCUUACGAUCCUGGUCAGGGAUCUCCGUCACAUGCACGUCUUAGUAGUAGCAAAAACAGAUCCAUUAACAUCAGUUCCUCAGUACGUUCAGCUUGAUUUAACUGUUCUUUACUUGGAUGAUCACGUCCAUAGUUAUUCUGGUGGUAUGAUUGUACAAAGCUAAAACAAAUGCUCUACUUGAUUGCUUUUAUUUCCAACGUAAUGUUGCCUAACUCCAGUAGAAUUGAAUCUGAUUUCAUUAAUUGUGGCAAGCUUGGAUUAUUCCUUCUAAUCAUAUUCCUUCUCCCAUGUUCAAAGAUUAAUCCUAACUGCGGAUUAAUUUUAAAUUCUUAUACGCACGUUACCUAUGGUUACUAACUCAUUGAUACAAUUAAAUUCUUAUGUGCAUGUUACCUACGGUUACACUACCAUGAGUCCAUGAUCAUGUUGAUACAUACCUUGAACUUGACGUGGACGGAGAAAAAGCAGUGGGCCUCGACAUGCCAAUUUGUGCCCUGAUCUGCACCUUUAGUGUACGCAAGGCGCAGCGCGAAGCACGAUGGUCCAGAGACCAAAAGGGUCAGAUAUGAUGUCACCUAGCUUCUGACCUGUGAUCAAUGCCAAAGUUUUCAUUGCCUACAUCAAGUACAUGAUUUAAGGUAGAAGGUUAUGCGGAUAUGAUUCCAUUUAUUCUGUGGUUAAACUUUGUUCACACUGCAUGCAAGGAGGAGUAGUGUGGUGAAAGGUUGGACGUACAAAGCACAAAAUGUGGCUAUCAUGCGGACUAAGGUAAACUCAAGGAUUUACAAGUUUGGCAGACAUGGAUGCACUGUUCAUGUUUAUUGGUGUUCUUUGUGAACCAUGGUAACAUGUAUUAAAACAUAUCUUCCGUCCUUCAACCGUGUUUUGAGGUCCGGGUAAAAAACUUCAUUGGUUAUCAACUUCACUAAUGUUUAAGUUCCAUAUUUCACUCCUAGAAAAACUCUUCGAAUAUUUAAGAAAACAAAUAUAGAAAAAUUGCAAAGGUGAUAUCAUUUUUUAAUAGAAAUGUCUAGCCCGUGCAAUUGCACGGGUUGACGACUAGUUAAGAUUAAUUUGUUUUUUAGCCGCUUGUUUUAUUUGAUUAUUUUUUGCACCGGAUUUUUUCUCAAGUUGGCUUGGCCCCACUAUACUCAAAUCCUGGCUCCGCCCCUGCAUGGCCUUACUAGCUAGCUCCAUCACCCAGGGAACGGUCUUCUGGCACCACGCCUCAUCGGCCGCCAGUGCCAUCGCCGAGGUUUGCUGCGGCUGUGAGGAGCAUUUCUUUUUUCUUUAUACCAGGCAGGCAAAUUUCUCCUUGCGCGCACGAGAGGCCGACAAAGGAUUUUUCGUGCAUGGCUGUAGAUCAGGGCUGGACCACCAGCACUAGAAAAAAAAAGCCCGUUCUCCGACCUGUUUGCUUUUUUCAUCAGUCACGUGUCCCUUUUUUUGUGGGGGUCACGUGUCCUUUCAAUGUCAGGGGCUAGAUAUGGCACUAAUGUGGUGUCUAUGCAAACUUCUACUGUUAGUACUGUGCAACACCCUGAUGCAGUCCUUCCGAGUAUGACACAUGCAGAACACACUGAUGGUCAAGAUAUCCAGAGAUCUGUGGAGCCGGAGGGAGAAGCAACCACGGUUGUGUGUGCUGCAAGCUCGCUCAUGGAUGCAUGUGCACCGAAGAAGCAUGCACUGGCCAUGGCUAGCUCCGUGCAUGGCCAGCUGGCCGUGGGCACGGUGCAUGAGCCCGUCGCUCACAUGCAUGUGGCUGGGGGCGCGCCUGCACAGCAUGAAACGCAUGCAGCAACCCCAGUCCCGAUGCUCGGGCAGCUAGCUAUGGGCAAGGAUACGACGCCAACAGGGCACACAACUGCUGCUACCUCGGUUCACGUGCGAGGUUCCCCAACACUGUCUGAGUCGACUGCACCAGCAUGUUCUCCGGUCGCUGUGGUUCCACUCGGUCCAGCAGCGGUUCGUGCGCAUGGUUCUGCCGCGACGCCCGUUGCUACCGUUCCGGUUGGACCGUUGGCGCGUCCCUCUUCACCGACAUCUGGGACAUUACGGACCCCAACGGCUAAGCCGACGACACCGACGGCGACUAUGUCUGGAGGGAUUGCUUCGCGUCUCCGACGUAGUAACCGUCAUGCCACCUCUGCCGAUGGUUCCUCUACGACUGAUGAGCACUCUCUAGCGAAGGCGAUGUGCCGCCAAGCCGUGAGAAAUUUGGACCCCACGCCAGGUACCCUGUCCGCUCAAUCUUUUCUUUCUUUUUCAGAUACUCGCAUUAAUAAUAGCUUAAAUAAUA